AUUGCACUCCGGGUCACAAGCCCGGGGUGCGUCCGGCUGAGGGUCGGUAA
rnacentral:rRNA from 1 species